rnacentral:rRNA from 1 species
UAGGAAAUUAAGAGCAUAUGGUGGAUGCCUUGACUUGAAGAGGCGAUGAAGGACGCGGUCUGGCUGCGAUAAGCUUCGGGGAGGUGCCUAGCAACCUUUGAUCCGAAGAUUUCCGAAUGGGGAAACCCCUCGUGCUUGACACGAGACUCUGUAGCAAUACAGAGAGCAUACCCAGGGAAGUAAAACAUUUCAGUACCUGGUGGAAAAGAAAACAAUGUUCGCAAGAACGAUAUUUCCUAAGUAGCGGCGAGCGAAAAGGAAAGAGCCCAAACCUACUUUCGUAAGAAAGUGGGGGUUGUAAGGUGAGAGCGUGCUAUUUAUAGCAGUAGAGUUAAAAAGUAGUGUCUUAGUUUAAAUAUCUGAAAAGAUAUACCCCAGAGGGUUAUAGUCCCGUAAACGAAAAUAUACUAUCUCUAUUGCUCUCAUUCUUGAGUACCUCGAGACACGAAUGGCUCGGGGGAAUCUGCCGGAACUAACCGGUAAGGCUAAAUACUCUUCAAGAUCGAUAGUGAACUAGUACCGUGAGGGAAAGGUGAAAAGUAGCCCGUCAAGGGCGGUGAAAUAGACCUGAAACCAUAUGCUUACAAGGAGUAGAAGCGGUGUCUCGCUUGUGUGCGGUAGUGCCGAGAAGUGUAAACUUUUCUGUGCUACUUUGUGCAAGUGAGACACCGUGACUGCGUGCCUAUUGAAGAAUGAGCCAACGAGUUAAUGUAUGCUGCAAGCUAAGUCCUUUACCGGAUGGAGCUUUAGGGAAACCGAGUGUUAAUAGCGCGUCUGUAGUAUACAUUAGACCCGAAGCCAGGUGAGCUUGUCAUGCGCAGGGUGAACUCUCGAGAAAUCGAGAGGGAGGCCCGAACCGGUGAGCCGUUCAAUACUCUCGGAUGACGUGUGAUAAGGAGUGAUAAGCUAAUCGAACCUGGUAAUAGCUGGUUCUCUCCGAAAUAGCUUUUGGGCUAGCGUCGGAAUUACCUUUGAGGGGUAGAGCACUGGAAGGUCUUGACAGGUCGAAAGAUCCCGAGACCUAUCAAACUCCGAAUACUCAGAGUAAAUUUUCCGGCAGUUAGACUGUGGGGGCUAAGCUCCAUUGGUCAAAAGGGAAACAGCCCGGAUCUCCAUUUAAGGUCCCUAAAUCUAUGUUAAGUACGCUUAAGGUGGUAAGUUUUCUCAAACAAUGAGGAUGUUGGCUUAGAAGCAGCCAUCAUUUAAAGAAAGCGUAACAGCUCACUCAUCGAGAGAAUUUGCGCCGCAGAUAAUCGGGGUUAAACAUAGUACCGAAACUGAGGAUUGCAUAUGUCUUCGGACGUAUGCACUGGUAGGAGAGUAUUCGCAACUGCACUGAAGGCAAAGGGGUGACCCAUGCUGGAGCGUUGCGAAGUAAGAAUGUUGGCACAAGUAACCACAAUGCAGGUGAGAUACCUGCACGCCGAAAGAUCAAGGUUUCCUUGGCUAUGUAAAUCAGCCAAGGGUUAGUCGGGCCUAAGGGAAUGGCGAAAGCCGUACUCGAUGGACACAUGGUUAAUAUUCCAUGACGUAUUGUGUGUGCGACGGGAUGACGAAGGGUAGUAUGUGUAGCGCAUUAUUGGAUUUGCGUUUGUGUCGUAAGGGUGAUUUCCAGGAAAAUCCGGAAGUCUGUGUUUAAUCACGCUCCAAGCGAUAUGAAGAUGCUCGGGUUCGCCCGGGUAAAUUAUACAAAGCACGCUUUCAAGAAAAAUCUCUAAGCAUAACGCACAGUACACCGUACCGCAAACCGACACAGGUGAUCAGCUCGAGUAGAGUAAGGCGAACGAGUGAUUUUUCUCCAAGGAACUCGGCAAAAAAGCAGCCGUAACUUCGGAAUAUGGCUUGCCCCGCAUCACGGUGAACGUGAUGCGAUGAAAAUCCGAAUAUCGAAAUCCUAAAUCCGAAACAAAACCCGAAAAUCAUAAAUUCAAAAUUUUAAACGGACUCGUUUAUUAUUUUGAUAUUUGAAUUUGUUUAGAGUUUAGUGCUUCGUACUUCGAAUUUUCGUCACCAUCAUCGCGCUUAGCGUGAUGCGGGGCCGCAGCGAAAGUAUCCCUGGCAACUGUUUAUCAAAAACACAGCUCCCUGCGAACUCGUAAGAGGAUGUAUAGGGGGUGACACUUGACCAAUGCCAGAAGGUCAAACGACGGUGGUACUAUGGUCGCAAGAUUGUAGUGCUGGAUGUUGUAAGCCCUGGUGAAUGUCGGCCGUAACUAUAACGGUCCUAAGGUUGUGUCUCUUGCAAAGGCAGGAGACACAAGGACUAGGACUGUUAUGAUUACUGGGUGUAGGUAAACAAAAUUAAAAAGCUGCCUAUCUAUGCAGAACAAAAAUUAGAUGUCCUUAAUAAAUAUCUGACUAUAUGCUGGGAAAUCUGUGCAUUAAAUUGUUGUAAGGCUGAUACUACUAUGGUAUAAUCAUUCCAUAUGGAAUACAUCUCUAGUAAAAAAGUAAUCAGUGCGGAUAAUCAGCAGGAAAGACUAAAAAUUGAAUCAUGGAUUGUGGGUUUUACUGAUGGGGAAGGAUGUUUUUCGGUAAGUAUUUUGAAAAACAAAACUUCUAAAAAUGGUUGGCAAGUAUUUCCAGAGUUUGUAAUAACUCAAGGAAAGAAAAGUCUACCAGCACUUGAAGUAUGCAAAGAAUAUUUUAAGUGUGGAAAAAUAUUUGUGAAUGCUCGGUACGAUAAUCACAAAGAAGAUAUCUAUCGAUAUUGUAUUCGAUCUAUUUUUGAGCUUAAUGAGCGGAUCGUUCCGUUUUUUAAGCAAAACCAACUCAGAACCCACAAACAAAAUGAUUUCGAGAUUUUUGCGAGAAUAAUUGAUUCUAUGAGUAAUAAAAAGCAUCUCACCGAUGAAGGUUUUGUUGAGAUAGCAGAGCUCAUCCAAACAAUGAAUACAAAGAAGAAAUCAAGAUUUUUAGAAUCCUCAGAAACCAAACGUCAGACUCAUAAAUAAUGAGAAGAUAGAGUUCAGGUUUUGGAAUACCUUAGCGAAAUUCCUUGUCAGGUAAGUUCUGACGUGCACGAAUAGUGUAAUGACUGGGGAACUGUCUCGGAGAAUAGCUCGGUGAAAAUACAAUACCGGUGAAGAUGCCGGUUACCUGCAGUUAGACGAAAAGACCCUAGAAGCUUUACUGCAGCUUGAUAUUGAGUAUAUGUUUUUGAUGCGUAGCGUAGAUGGGAGGAUUUGAAGUGUAUCUUUCGGGGUGCAUGGAUCCGCAAGUGAAAUACCAUUCUUUAAAAAUAUAUAUUCUAACCUGUACGGCAAAAACGCACAGGGACAUUAUCUGGUGGGCAGUUUUAGUGGGGCGCUAUCCUCCUAAAGAGUAACGGAGGAGUUUAUUAAGGUCAGCUAGCCGUGAAUGGAAACCAUGGCGAUAGUGUAAUGGCAUAAGCUGGCUUAACUGUAAGACGUACUUGUCGAGCAGAUGCGAAAGCAGAACAUAGUGAACCGACCAUUCGCAUUAGACGCGGUGGAAGAUUAUCGGAUAAAAGCUACUCUAGGGAUAACAGGCUGGUUGUGCCUAAGAGUUCAUAUCGACGGCACAGUUCGGCACCUCGAUGUCGGCUCAACUUAUCCUGGGGGUGGAGAAGCUCCCAAGGGUAUGGCUGUUCGCCAUUUAAAAAGUUACGCGAGCUGGGUUCAGACCGUUUAGAAAUUAAAUUCGAAAUUCAAAUAUCGAAAUCCUAAACAAUAUCAAAAUCAAAAAUCCAAAAGUUUUAAACAUUUGAAUUUAGAGAUUGGAAUUUGUUUCGGGUUUAGGAUUUCGAUUUCGUACUUUGAUUCCUAGACAGUCUGAAUCCCAUCGAAAUUUUCGUUUAUAUUAAAAAUAGUUAGGAAGUAGAUCAAUCAAACACGGCGGUCCCGCAUAGCAAUAUGCGAAGAUCAAGUUGACUAGUAUCGGUGGAGGCCUAAAUACACCCAGUGUUGGUUAAUACCGAGGGAAACAUUCUUGUAAAAGAUGUACCCGUAGAGACUGAACGUCAACACUCUCAAAUUUCCAGACCUAAAACACGAAUACGUGUUCGGUCAAGUGAAAAUUUGAGAACAUGCUCCAGUCCAUUGCAGAGAGUAAUCUCUGGUAACAAGCGUGAGACAGGUUGGUCUCCUAUCUUCUGCAGGCGUUGAUUCUUGAGGAGAUUUGCUUCUAGUACGAGAGGACCGAAGUGAACGAACCUCUGGUGUAUCUGCUGUCCUGCCAAGGGCACCGCAGAGUAGCUAUGUUCGGAAUGGAUAACCUCUGAAAGCAUCUAAGAGGGAAGCCAACUCCAAGAUUAGGAAUCGUUUGAGACACGUGAGAGAUGAUCACGUUGAUAGGCUUUAGAUGUACGCACCGUAAGGUGCUUAGUCGUGAAGUACUAAUUAGUCGAUUCCUAUUA